rnacentral:rRNA from 1 species
UACGUAGGUGGCGAGCGUUGUCCGGAUUUACUGGGCGUAAAGAGCGCGCAGGCGGUCGUGCAAGUCGCGUGUGAAAGCCCCCGGCUCAACUAGGGAGGGUCACGCGAUACUGCUCGACUCGAAGGCAGGAGGGGGAAGUGGAAUUCCCGGUGUAGUGGUGAAAUGCGUAGAUAUCGGGAGGAACACCAGUGGCGAAGGCGACUUCCUGGCCUGUUCUUGACGCUGAGGCGCGAAAGCUAGGGUAGCAAACGGG